rnacentral:rRNA from 1 species
GACGUAGGUGGCGAACGUUAUCCGGAAUUAUUGGGCGUAAAGGGUGCGUAGAUGGCCUGAUAAGUUAGCAGUGGUAAAUCGAGGCUCAACCUCGUGGAAACUGAUAAUACUGUCUGGCUCGAGUACAGAAGAGGUUAACGGAAUUCCAUGUGGAGCGGUAAAAUGCAUAGAUACCACCCAGAACUCCGAUUGCGAAGGCAGCCUACUGGAGGUUCACCGACGCUCAGGCACGAAAGCGUGGGGAUCAAACAGG